UGCGUAGGCGGCGCGGUAAGUCGGGUGUGAAAUCUCGGGGCUUAACUCCGAAACUGCAUUCGAUACUGCCGUGCUUGAGGACUGGAGAGGAGACUGGAAUUUACGGUGUAGCAGUGAAAUGCGUAGAUAUCGUAAGGAAGACCAGUGGCGAAGGCGGGUCUCUAGACAGUUCCUGACGCUGAAGUACGAAGGCCAGGGGAGCAAACG
rnacentral:rRNA from 1 species